rnacentral:lncRNA from 1 species
AAAUGAUUUGUCUUAAUUCAACAUCGGAGAGAAAUGAGUUCCCCUGUAUGCAUUUAAUAUGUUCUCCGUGUGCCAACAUAUAUGUAUGUAUACCUGUUUGUUUUGAGUUAAAACAAUAGUUAUGUACCGUUGAUUUAAUAUCCCUUGAGUUAGAGGCUAGAGGAGCAUGGCUACGCAUUCCGUAGCUACAGCAAGCUCAGUUUGUAGUUUUGCCAUAAGCUCUUGCGAAAGAAAACAUAACAAGUGUAAUCAUUAGCCUUU